rnacentral:rRNA from 1 species
AGAGUUUGAUCCUGGCUCAGAAUCAACGCUGGCGGCGUGCCUAACACAUGCAAGUCGAACGAGAAAGUGGAGCAAUCCAUGAGUACAGUGGCGACCGGGUGAGUAACACGUGACCAACCUGCCCUCGAGUGGGGAACAACCUAGGGAAACCUGGGCUAAUACCGCAUAACAUCCUUGAGUCGGAAGACUUGGGGACCAAA